CCGUCCUUCCGGAGGCGAGGGCGGCGGGGCGCGCGGUGGCCCUGGCCCUGGUGCUGUUGCUUCCCGCAGGGCCAGCGAGCGCCCUGCUCCGCCUGCAGCCCGGCCUGCCCCACGUGUGUGCCGAACAGGAGCUGACCUUGGUGGGCCGCCGCCAGCCCUGUGUGCAGGCUUUCAGCCGAACCGUGCCCGUGUGGAAGCCGGGCUGUGGGCGGCAGGCGUGGUGCAUCGGCCACGAGCGGAGAACCAUCUACUACACAGGCUACAGGCAGGUGUAUGCCGUGGAGGCCCAGACCGUGUUGAGGUGCUGCCCAGGGUGGAGCCAGCAGCCUGGAGACCAGGGCUGCCUCUCCCGUGAGUGUCCCUCCCCCGACCCUGAAUCAGUGCGUCGG